UAAAAAUACAGAGUAGAGCGAGCCUGCUUGCCUUGUUUCUGGCCUUUUGGCCUGUUGUUCUAGCAGCUCAGAACUUCCCAUCAUUAUCGCAGAAAUACAACUCUUCCCUUAAAGAGACUGCAAGUUUUAGUGAGGAAAUCUAGCAUACUUACACUUUAUGCGUUUUUUAGGAAUCCAAAGCGAGAAACCUAUUUCGCUCAUUCCUAAGGACCUGACACCAGACACUGCGGGUAUAUGGCCUUGCUCAGCUUCAGCCUCUGAGCAUCCUUGUGGGGAUUUUGUGAAGCCCGCGGGUUUUCUCAGUUUCCGAGGAGAAUUUCAAGGAGAAUUUGAGUAUAAAUUCAAUUCUGCCUCUCAUCCUCAUCCCCGCCCUCUCCCCCGUCCCAUCCGGACCACGGGGAUCUCCCACUUUAGACCCAGAGAAGAGCGGAGUCUGAAGACAAGGAGCUGGAGGCACAGAAGCUGAGGCCAAGGUCAUGACCGCUCACAGGCGGCUGAAGGAGGUGGCAGCUAGGCGCCGCCCUCUGCCCCUGGAGCUGACCUCUGCAUGCCUGGGACCCGCUGACAUCUAGAGCAAGGCUAGGGGAUGGAGAGAGAGCUACAGCUGACCAGUCCUUGAUCCUGUGGAUGCUGAAGCCCACCAAGGGCCUUUAAGGAAGUGUCCUGAAAGGAAGAGCAACGUUAAGCACAGCUGUGCUUCGUAAAAGGUUCUCCCUGGUGUUACUUCUUUCCCUGUUAGAGAUUUGAGAUUGAGAGGCCUGAGUCCUAACGUUUCUGUCUCCCCACCUAUCCCGGAAACCGGAUCUAAUUGUUCACUAAUUCUUCUUCGUUAGUGGGCCCACCACCUCAGCAGCCUGUGCUUGGUGGCUUAGGAUUAUUAGUUUAGAGCAAGUUUAUCAGUCUCCUCAUAGGGAAGAUGUUGUACAAAUUUGAAGUAUUAUUAAGCAGUUAAAAAACCAAAACCAAAACAAACCAGAUAUAAACCCAAACCAAAGAUCAACCAAAAUAAAAAUAAAAACGCCCUCUUUACAGUACAAAAAGAUGUUCAGUGAGCUCACGUUUGCUCAGUCAUUUGAGUCCUUGAACCCUUCAGGAAAACACAGCUCCUCUGGGCCUUCUGGAGGAUGACUUAAUGACACCGCAGUAUAUCACCAGGUUAAUCCAGUAUAUCACCAGGUUUAAAACGUUUUCCAGAGGCAAGGUUCCACAGAAACACCUUUACCAGUAAGGGUGUAAUGUCUGGUUACAGAGAGGGCUGGCUUCAGAAACAGGGAAAGGCUGGAUCCAACCCAACUAAAAACCCUGGCUUCCAACUUUGGAACCACAGUUCUGGGUACUGUUGGCCAUGGAGUGCCACCUUCGGAGCAGACGGGACUGUAGGCUGGGCUGUUUCCCACUGCUUGCUGCAACUCUGCAACAGAUAUUUUCCUCUCCUGUUGAUUGAUUGAUUGACUGAUUGAUUGAUUGAUUGAUUGUAAUCCUUCCUUCUAAUGCCCAGAGUUAAGUUCCCAUCUCCCUGUGUUUGGACCUUUAGUCAGGCCUGCCCCCCACAUAUUUAAGUGUGAUAAGCCAGCAGAAUAUGAACCCAGGAUGUAAUGUUGGUGUAGGGGGAGGGGCAGAGCAGUCUAUCACCUUUAUUUAUUUAUACUCAUCUCUUCAUGGUUUACAAAUGGACUCAAGGGGGAAUGGCAGAGUUUUGUAAUUUCUAAGGCAGGAGAGUUUGUGAAGCCCCUAACAUGGUUCAGACUUCAUGAGUCUAAGAUAACACAAUGCACUAAACCUCCACUCACAUCCUUUUGGCAAACACAACUGAAACUCAACAUUUAUGGUCCUCUGGUGGCUUCUAUGCUGUUGGGUAGCAUCUCUUUAAUUUAUCUCCUUGAAAGAGGACACCAACUUUCACUAAAUCACUAAAUGCCCCCACGCUCCUGGUAAGCUAUAUUCAUGAAGUCUCGGCUACAAGCUUGUUAUUUAACCCUUGGCACAGGUUUCCACCCUGGAAUAGGGAGUGAAGGCUCCAUUUAUGCCUUUGGGGAUAAAAGUACUUUUCAUCCAAUUUACCAAGAAAGGGUACUUGAGUGCAAAGUGGGCAGGGUUGUAGAAGACACAAUCCGUCCAUCAGCUUUGCUAGCAUUGGAAUCUCAACAUGUCCACCAUUCUCUGCAUAAAUGCCUGGGUAGGGUAGUUGUAGGACACACUGCCUUUGUGGUAUCUGUCUUUUUCACCUACCAUCCCUGGGAAUAAGUCACACACUUGCUCCUUUGAAAGAGGCCAAAUACAAUUCCUGCCUCCCAGAGAAUAUUAAAACCACUUCUAUUGGAGUUGCUGCUAGAAGCAAUUGCUUGUAGUUCCAUAAAGGGAAAACACUGUAUUUGUUUGUUUUGUCUUAAGACUCUUGUAGAGUCAAGGCCUGGUGAUAUUCCUGCUGAAGUUAAUGCUAGGGAGAGUGCAGCGCUGGAAUCCCAAGACCAGAGUGUUAAAAUGGAUCCCAAUUUUCUGUUUGUAUAACUGUACUUUCUAUUUGGUUUUUUCCUUUCUUAGAGACCCCACCUCCCAAAGCACAAGAGAUUAAUAGAUACACCCCUACUUUUCUCAAGAAAAAAAAAAAACUGUCGCUAAAUACUGUUGCUACCAAGUGUCACAACGGUACAUACUCCGUUGCCACUGUUUAUUUAAAUUUACCUCCACAGUUCUUUUAUGGACUUGGGAAAGUGUAACAGGUUCUAAUUGGUAGAGGGACAAAUCCGAGUCAGGUGUGUUUUACUUUGUUUUUCCCGAUCAAAGACUCUUGAGUCAAAGAAUAAGCUUUUUGCAGUGUUUUUUUUAAACACUCUUUUUUAGUAGCUGUAGGCUUUCUUCCCUUAGACUUCUAAGAGUCAUCCAGUUCCGCUUUCACUUUUCCUCCUCCCAGCCUCGCUAACCCACUUAACAAUUCUCGGCUUGUCCCAGGCCGCUGGUAGCGAGCAGAGGACCCCCACGACUCCCCUAACCAUAACGCUCAACUUCAGAAGCUCAUAGGAGAAAAUGUCUUCUUCGCGAAGUGCAGUCGGAGCAAAUCAUUCACCUAGAGUUCCCUCCGCAGCUGCUGUAGGAAGGACUUCGGCCGAUCUUCAAGCUGGGACCCGCUCACAGGACUCGUCUGCUGGUGACCGCAGCGGAACAACUCAGGCCGGAGGUUGACGCCUCUCUAUGCGUCCUCCCACCCGCGGGACAUCCCGAUGACCCGGUCACUCAGCGCCAAACAACCAUGGGACUCCACUCUUUUCUUCCUUGCUCUGCUUCGCCUCCCAAAAGUGCUCCCAGCCCAGCUGCGGUGUGAUCACUCCCCAACACCCCAGUCCAUCGUGUACACCUCAACGUGCGCGAGAUGGGGUUCGAAUAUGGGAACUCAACUUUGCCACCAAAAUGCUCAGUGUCAGGACCGGACCAGAGGGAAGAAAGACUGUCAAGAGACUGUACAGAGCGCCGAUACUGGGUCCUGGGGAGGCGGCCCCGUCGGUCCCUAAGCAGGUCCUGCAGGCGCACCCUGCUGCUUUCUCUUGCAAGUCUUUUGAGAGAAGGCAGCUGGUGACCCGGGUCCUUAUCCUUCAAGUUCCCCUGAGUGAAGCAGGGCGCCACCUACAGUCGAGUUCUAACUAGCACGUUGGUGAGAAGGCUGGUGAUCCUUUCUGAAGCAAGGUGGGAUUUUGGGCAUAGCCAUCUCAUCUCUGUAAUCAAUCCAGAUCAACAGGUCGGUUGGCAGGCAGCAGCAGACUAGACCACACUGCAAAUGUGCUUUGGGGGUGUGCAGAAGUUGGGAAACAGACCAGUACUAGCUCUGAUUGGACUUGUUCGUGCUCUAAUGGUUUGGCUGGUUUUUGUUUGUUUGUUUGUUUGUUUUUGAUCCCAGUAUCUCCUCCAGGUUUCAGCCAAGGAGAGCAGCAGUCAGUUUCCUUAGGAAGACUAUCUGUGUGACCUUGGACAAGUCGCUCCGUCAUUCACUCUCCCCUUUCUACCCCUUCAGAACUAUAACUGUGAUAGUUUUUUUUUCUAAAUUAAUGAGAUAAAGUAGGCGAGAAACUGCACAUGCUAAGAGCUCCCACCUAUUUCUAAAAGGGGAAAAAAAUCUUCCGAGAAAUAAAACAUUAAAGACAUUG